CCCUGUCAGACGAACGCUGGCGGCGUGCCUAAUACAUGCAAGUCGAACGAACUCUGGUAUUGAUUGGUGCUUGCAUCAUGAUUUACAUUUGAGUGAGUGGCGAACUGGUGAGUAACACGUGGGAAACCUGCCCAGAAGCGGGGGAUAACACCUGGAAACAGAUGCUAAUACCGCAUAACAACUUGGACCGCAUGGUCCGAGUUUGAAAGAUGGCUUCGGCUAUCACUUUUGGAUGGUCCCGCGGCGUAUUAGCUAGAUGGUGAGGUAACGGCUCACCAUGGCAAUGAUACGUAGCCGACCUGAGAGGGUAAUCGGCCACAUUGGGACUGAGACACGGCCCAAACUCCUACGGGAGGCAGCAGUAGGGAAUCUUCCACAAUGGACGAAAGUCUGAUGGAGCAACGCCGCGUGAGUGAAGAAGGGUUUCGGCUCGUAAAACUCUGUUGUUAAAGAAGAACAUAUCUGAGAGUAACUGUUCAGGUAUUGACGGUAUUUAACCAGAAAGCCACGGCUAACUACGUGCCAGCAGCCGCGGUAAUACGUAGGUGGCAAGCGUUGUCCGGAUUUAUUGGGCGUAAAGCGAGCGCAGGCGGUUUUUUAAGUCUGAUGUGAAAGCCUUCGGCUCAACCGAAGAAGUGCAUCGGAAACUGGGAAACUUGAGUGCAGAAGAGGACAGUGGAACUCCAUGUGUAGCGGUGAAAUGCGUAGAUAUAUGGAAGAACACCAGUGGCGAAGGCGGCUGUCUGGUCUGUAACUGACGCUGAGGCUCGAAAGUAUGGGUAGCAAACAGGAUUAGAUACCCUGGUAGUCCAUACCGUAAACGAUGAAUGCUAAGUGUUGGAGGGUUUCCGCCCUUCAGUGCUGCAGCUAACGCAUUAAGCAUUCCGCCUGGGGAGUACGGCCGCAAGGCUGAAACUCAAAGGAAUUGACGGGGGCCCGCACAAGCGGUGGAGCAUGUGGUUUAAUUCGAAGCUACGCGAAGAACCUUACCAGGUCUUGACAUACUAUGCAAAUCUAAGAGAUUAGACGUUCCCUUCGGGGACAUGGAUACAGGUGGUGCAUGGUUGUCGUCAGCUCGUGUCGUGAGAUGUUGGGUUAAGUCCCGCAACGAGCGCAACCCUUAUUAUCAGUUGCCAGCAUUAAGUUGGGCACUCUGGUGAGACUGCCGGUGACAAACCGGAGGAAGGUGGGGAUGACGUCAAAUCAUCAUGCCCCUUAUGACCUGGGCUACACACGUGCUACAAUGGAUGGUACAACGAGUUGCGAACUCGCGAGAGUAAGCUAAUCUCUUAAAGCCAUUCUCAGUUCGGAUUGUAGGCUGCAACUCGCCUACAUGAAGUCGGAAUCGCUAGUAAUCGCGGAUCAGCAUGCCGCGGUGAAUACGUUCCCGGGCCUUGUACACACCGCCCGUCACACCAUGAGAGUUUGUAACACCCAAAGUCGGUGGGGUAACCUUUUAGGAACCAGCCGCCUAAGGUGGGACAGAUGAUUAGGGUGAA
rnacentral:rRNA from 2 species